AUCAAGGUGAUACUUUUCCUUUUACCGGCCAACUAAGGUUGUCAGGUCUGUUACUGUGGAAUUAAAUCUUAGUUAUAUUCAACAUUCUUUUCCUGUACUUAGUUGAAUCGGAUGUCUGAAAAUGGCCAGUUGGAUUUUAUUGGAUAUUAUUCUUUAAUUUGUAUCCACAUUACAUGGCCAUACCAAUUGAUUGGUCCCAUUUGAAGUUGUCUAUAUUGCCAUACAACUGGAGAUGUUUUGAUGGGGUCUUUCAGGAAAGCGACUCAUCAGCCAGAGUGCGCGAGGAGAUUUUGGCCAUUCUGG